rnacentral:rRNA from 1 species
AUGGCCAGCAACCAAUGGAUUGCGAAUAUUGACAGCUCCAAUGGCCUCUCCCUUGAACACAUCCAACAGUUUGCUAACCUUUGGGACAAACUAGCAACAGUGGCACUCGAUGACGACGUUGAAGACUCAAUUAUUUGGAAGUUCACCAAAGAUGGGAUAUAUUCUGCAUCCUCGGCUUACAAGGCUCAAUUUGAAGGCCUCACCACCUCGGACCUUGUCCAUUCGGUGUGGACGGUGUGGGCGCCCCCUCGGUGCAAGUUUUUUGCUUGGCUCGUUCUUCAAGAUAGGAUUUGGACUUCGGACCGCUUGAGCCGCCGUGGUUGGCCUAAUUGCGGUCUAUGCCCUCUUUGCAAGCAAACCCAAGAAACCGCGGCUCAUCUGCUUUUCCAGUGCCGCUACACCAUGCGCAUUUGGAAUGACGUCCUCCCAUGGCUCGGCAUGCAUCACAUCACCACGUCUACCUGGGUGACAAGGGCUUCGGUCAGAGAAUGGUGGAACGCUAACCUGCAGAUCCGUCUCAGCUCGCCCAAGGCGCUCGCCUCCCUCAUGAUGCUCAUCUCUUGGGAGGUUUGGUUGGAGCGCAAUGCUAGAGUCUUCCGCAACUCAGCGGCCCCUUCCAUGACCAUCAUCAGCAAAAUCAAGCAGGAGGUAUCGCUUUGGGCUUUGGCUGGAGCGAAGCAUUUGGGUGGUGUAAUGCCGCGAGAGUAG